GGGCGACCCGGGGGCGUUCCACAGCACGUGUCUCGAUACCGCGGUCGCCUUCGACACGUGCCGAAUGCCAAUGGCGAGACCGACCCAGGCGCGC
rnacentral:ncRNA from 1 species